ACAUGCAGUCGAGCGGACAGAANGGAGCUUGCUCCCGGAUGUUAGCGGCGGACGGGUGAGUAACACGUGGGUAACCUGCCUGUAAGACUGGGAUAACUCCGGGAAACCGGAGCUAAUACCGGAUAGUUCCUUGAACCGCAUGGUUCAAGGAUGAAAGACGGUUUCGGCUGUCACUUACAGAUGGACCCGCGGCGCAUUAGCUAGUUGGUGAGGUAACGGCUCACCAAGGCGACGAUGCGUAGCCGACCUGAGAGGGUGAUCGGCCACACUGGGACUGAGACACGGCCCAGACUCCUACGGGAGGCAGCAGUAGGGAAUCUUCCGCAAUGGACGAAAGUCUGACGGAGCAACGCCGCGUGAGUGAUGAAGGUUUUCGGAUCGUAAAGCUCUGUUGUUAGGGAAGAACAAGUGCAAGAGUAACUGCUUGCACCUUGACGGUACCUAACCAGAAAGCCACGGCUAACUACGUGCCAGCAGCCGCGGUAAUACGUAGGUGGCAAGCGUUGUCCGGAAUUAUUGGGCGUAAAGGGCUCGCAGGCGGUUUCUUAAGUCUGAUGUGAAAGCCCCCGGCUCAACCGGGGAGGGUCAUUGGAAACUGGGAAACUUGAGUGCAGAAGAGGAGAGUGGAAUUCCACGUGUAGCGGUGAAAUGCGUAGAGAUGUGGAGGAACACCAGUGGCGAAGGCGACUCUCUGGUCUGUAACUGACGCUGA
rnacentral:rRNA from 1 species